AUUGAACGCUGGCGGCAUGCCUUACACAUGCAAGUCGAACGGUAACAGGUCUUCGGAUGCUGACGAGUGGCGAACGGGUGAGUAAUACAUCGGAACGUGCCUAGUAGUGGGGGAUAACUACUCGAAAGAGUGGCUAAUACCGCAUGAGAUCUACGGAUGAAAGCAGGGGAUCGCAAGACCUUGUGCUACUAGAGCGGCCGAUGGCAGAUUAGGUAGUUGGCGGGAUAAAAGCUUACCAAGCCGACGAUCUGUAGCUGGUCUGAGAGGACGAUCAGCGACCAUGGGACAGGGAGCCGCCCCAGACGCCUACGGGAGGCAGCAGUGGGGAGUUUUGGACAAGGGGCGCAAGCCUGAUCCAGCAAUGCCGCGUGCAGGAUGAAGGCCUUCGGGUUGUAAACUGCUUUUGUACGGAACGAAAAGCCCUGGGUUAAUACCCUGGGGUCAUGACGGUACCGUAAGAAUAAGCACCGGCUAACUACGUGCCAGCAGCCGCCGUAAAAC
rnacentral:rRNA from 1 species